GUGUCAGCCGCCGCGGUAAUACGUAGGGUGCGAGCGUUAAUCGGAAUUACUGGGCGUAAAGCGUGCGCAGGCGGAUUGUUAAGCAAGAUGUGAAAGCCCCGGGCUCAACCUGGGAAUGGCAUUUGAUACUGGCGAGCUAGAGUACGGUAGAGGGUGGUGGAAUUCCGUGUGUAGCAGUGAAAUGCGUAGAGAUGUGGAGGAAUACCAAUGGCGAAGGCAGCCCCCUGGGAUAAUAUUGACGCUCAUGCACGAAAGCGUGGGGAGCAAACAGGAUUAGAUACCCUGGUAGUCCACGCCCUAA
rnacentral:rRNA from 1 species